AUUGAACGCUGGCGGCAUGCUUUACACAUGCAAGUCGAACGGUAACAGGCCGCAAGGUGCUGACUAGUGGCGAACGGGUGAGUAAUGCAUCGGAACGUGCCCAGUCGUGGGGGAUAACUACUCGAAAGAGUAGCUAAUACCGCAUACGAUCUAUGGAUGAAAGCGGGGGACCGUAAGGCCUCGCGCGAUUGGAGCGGCCGAUGUCAGAUUAGGUAGUUGGUGGGGUAAAGGCUCACCAAGCCAACGAUCUGUAGCUGGUCUGAGAGGACGACCAGCCACACUGGGACUGAGACACGGCCCAGACUCCUACGGGAGGCAGCAGUGGGGAAUGUUGGACAAUGGGCGGAAGCCUGAUCCAGCAAUGCCGCGUGCAGGAAGAAGGCCUUCGGGUUGUAAAAUGCUUUUGUACGGAGCGAAACGGCUCUGGUUAAUACCCGGGGCUAAUGACGGUACCGUAAGAAUAAGCACCGGCUAACUACGUG
rnacentral:rRNA from 1 species